UUAGGAAUUUUGCGCAAUGGGGGAAACCCUGACGCAGCAACGCCGCGUGGGUGAAGAAGGCCUUCGGGUUGUAAAGCCCUUUUAGCAGGGACGACACAAGGACGGUACCUGCAGAAAAAGCACCGGCUAACUCCGUGCCAGCAGCCGCGGUAAUACGGAGGGUGCAAGCGUUAUUCGGAUUGACUGGGCGUAAAGCGCGCGUAGGCGGUUUGUUAAGUCUGGUGUGAAAUCCCUGGGCUCAAUCCAGGAAGCGCACUGGAUACUGGCAAACUAGAGUAUAGGAGGGGAGAACGGAAUUCCUGGUGUAGAGGUGAAAUUCGUAGAUAUCAGGAGGAACAACAGUGGCGAAGGCGGUUCUCUGGACUAUAACUGACGCUGAGGCGCGAAAGCGUGGGGAGCA
rnacentral:rRNA from 1 species